rnacentral:rRNA from 1 species
UACGUAGGGGGCAAGCGUUGUCCGGAUUUACUGGGCGUAAAGAGCGUGUAGGCGGCCAAGCAGGUCCGUUGUGAAAACUGGAGGCUUAACCUCCAGCUGUCGAUGGAAACCAUCUGGCUAGAGUCCGGAAGAGGAGAGUGGAAUUCCUGGUGUAGCGGUGAAAUGCGCAGAUAUCAGGAAGAACACCCGUGGCGAAGGCGGCUCUCUGGGACGGUACUGACGCUGAGACGCGAAAGCGUGGGGAGCGAACAGG